GGGUGCAACCAUACCAGCACUAAUGCAUUGGAUCCCAUUAGAACUCCGAAGUUAUACGUGCUUGGGCGAGAGUAGUGCGAGGAUGGGUGACCUCCUGGGAAGUCCUUGGGUUGCACCCC